CUCAUGUAAACCAAUAAAAUUGCUGUAAUUGCCACUGAUUACAGAAGAUAAAUAAUUAAUGACAUAAUUGCACUCCUCUUAACUAAUAUAAUUGCAGUAAUUUUGUCGUGUACAUAAUAAAUACAGAAAAACUUUAUUUCAACGGUCAAUUUAAAUUCACGAUCCGGCGAAUAGCAUAUCCCGCUGUUGUACAACCACCCUCUGUACCUUGAAUGCGAACAGUCUUCAGGUCAUACUUUUUAAAACGUCCUUCCAGGAUUUUCUUUCUUAGUGUUUCAGCUACUAAGACAUUAUUGUUGACGGUCGCAUUAUUACUGUACGGACCAAUAUGGUUGUUUGGCUCCGCAAAGUAAAUGGCCUCCGCAUCCACUUUAACUGAGCCAAUUCUGGAAGAAAAAUUUAUAGAAAUCUGCAGUGGCAGAGGUCGACAAAAAAUUUCUAUUUGUCGAAAUUACACGUUACUUUUACAUACUUCUGGUAUUUCCAAAUGCUACAGGUCGCUGAAAAAACG